AACGAACGCUGGCGGCAUGCCUAACACAUGCAAGUCGAACGAGACCUUCGGGUCUAGUGGCGCACGGGUGCGUAACGCGUGGGAAUCUGCCCUUGGGUUCGGAAUAACAGUUAGAAAUGACUGCUAAUACCGGAUAAUGACGUAAGUCCAAAGAUUUAUCGCCCAAGGAUGAGCCCGCGUAGGAUUAGCUUGUUGGUGAGGUAAAGGCUCACCAAGGCGACGAUCCUUAGCUGGUCUGAGAGGAUGAUCAGCCACACUGGGACUGAGACACGGCCCAGACGCCUACGGGAGGCAGCAGUGGGGAAUAUUGGACAAUGGGCGAAAGCCUGAUCCAGCAAUGCCGCGUGAGUGAUGAAGGCCUUAGGGUUGUAAAGCUCUUUUACCCGGGAUGAUAAUGACAGUACCGGGAGAAUAAGCCCCGGCUAACUCCGUGCCAGCCGCCGCUGUAAUAC
rnacentral:rRNA from 1 species